rnacentral:misc_RNA from 1 species
GAUGAAGAACGCAGUGAAAUGCGAUAAGUAAUGUGAAUUGCAGAAUUCAGUGAAUCAUCGAAUCUUUGAACGCACAUUGCGCCCGGUAGUAUUCUGCCGGGCAUGCCUGUUCGAGCGUCAUUUCAACCAUCAAGCCUCAGCGCUUGUGUUGGGGGCCUGCGGCUGCCGCAGCCCCCUAAAAGCAGUGGCGGGCUCGCUAUCACACCGAGUGCAGUAGUUCAUCUUCUCUCCGGUCUUGUGAGGCGGGUUCCGGCCGUGAAACACCCCACUACAUUCAAGGUUGACCUCGGAUCAGGUAGGAAUACCCGCUGAACUUAAGCAUAUCAAUAAGCGGAGGA